rnacentral:rRNA from 1 species
GCGGCGUGCUUAACACAUGCAAGUCGAACGGUGAAGCCAAGCUUGCUUGGUGGAUCAGUGGCGAACGGGUGAGUAACACGUGAGCAACCUGCCCUGGACUCUGGGAUAAGCGCUGGAAACGGCGUCUAAUACUGGAUAUGAGACGUGAUCGCAUGGUCGUGUUUGGAAAGAUUUUUCGGUCUGGGAUGGGCUCGCGGCCUAUCAGCUUGUUGGUGAGGUAAUGGCUCACCAAGGCGUCGACGGGUAGCCGGCCUGAGAGGGUGACCGGCCACACUGGGACUGAGACACGGCCCAGACUCCUACGGGAGGCAGCAGUGGGGAAUAUUGCACAAUGGGCGGAAGCCUGAUGCAGCAACGCCGCGUGAGGGAUGACGGCCUUCGGGUUGUAAACCUCUUUUAGCAGGGAAGAAGCGAAAGUGACGGUACCUGCAGAAAAAGCGCCGGCUAACUACGUGCCAGCAGCCGCGGUAAUACGUAGGGCGCAAGCGUUAUCCGGAAUUAUUGGGCGUAAAGAGCUCGUAGGCGGUUUGUCGCGUCUGCUGUGAAAUCCCGAGGCUCAACCUCGGGCCUGCAGUGGGUACGGGCAGACUAGAGUGCGGUAGGGGAGAUUGGAAUUCCUGGUGUAGCGGUGGAAUGCGCAGAUAUCAGGAGGAACACCGAUGGCGAAGGCAGAUCUCUGGGCCGUAACUGACGCUGAGGAGCGAAAGGGUGGGGAGCAAACAGGCUUAGAUACCCUGGUAGUCCACCCCGUAAACGUUGGGAACUAGUUGUGGGGACCAUUCCACGGUUUCCGUGACGCAGCUAACGCAUUAAGUUCCCCGCCUGGGGAGUACGGCCGCAAGGCUAAAACUCAAAGGAAUUGACGGGGACCCGCACAAGCGGCGGAGCAUGCGGAUUAAUUCGAUGCAACGCGAAGAACCUUACCAAGGCUUGACAUAUACGAGAACGGGCCAGAAAUGGUCAACUCUUUGGACACUCGUAAACAGGUGGUGCAUGGUUGUCGUCAGCUCGUGUCGUGAGAUGUUGGGUUAAGUCCCGCAACGAGCGCA